CCUAGGUUGUCAGAUUCUUCAUCAAUCUCAGAAAAGAUAAUAAAAAAGAAGACAUCAAGUUCAUGUUUGGCUAUAGGGAGAGCAAGUAACUUUCAGGGAAAAAAAAAAUUAUACCAGUACAUCAGGGCAGGGCUCAAGACCUUACAGUGGAAGAGUUAUGCUCUCCAUAAACAAUAUGACCUUCCAGGAGAGAAGAAAGAAUAGCGAUGACGACUGAAGACAUCAAUUCUUCAAAUAGAUACUUCGUGUCUGUAGAACGCAGGUCUCCUAUUUCCUAGUUUGUGUUUCUUCCAAUAAACUCCUUGAAAGCUCA
rnacentral:lncRNA from 1 species